rnacentral:misc_RNA from 1 species
UAACCUUAGAUUUCUUUGGAUAACAACGAAUCAAAAGUAUUUACCAACGGGUGGAAUAGGCUGCUUGAAGUUUCUUCGAUUUUUGUUCAUUGGCUGGUGUGAUAAUCUAGAAUAUUUGUUUGAAGACAUGCAAGGCCUAAAAAAGCUUCGAAGAUUGAUCAUCAGUGAUUGUAGAAGGUUGAUAUCUUUGCCACAAAGUAUUAAAUG